GAAGCAAAAGUCGGCUACAAGCCUUCCUGACUCGGCUUGACCCAGCUUGAGACGGCUAGUGCUAAGUUAAGCUCCAAAUUAGACGUCUUCUGUAUAGCUUAUAUGUCUAGUCUUGAAGACUUCUGGUGUAAGACCAGGUGGAGACGUACAGGCUCUGGUACACGUUUUUAAAGUCAAUCUCCAAGUCUUGCAAGCAAAACUCGCGCACAUUUUUACUACCAGCUUGCAACGAUUCCUUCCACAGCACCAUCAGUGGAAUGAUUACAUCGUUAUGGCAUCGUCAUAUAACAGCUCUCCGCACAAAACAGUGUAUUACCAGCGUACUGCAAGGUUUAUGCUCGAGCCGAUUUCGCAUAGGCCGCUAGUUAGACGGUUACAGCGCGCGUACCAAGUAUCAGCCAAUGAGGAAGGUACCUUCCUCCAUGGCCAAUUCAAACCUACCGCGUCAGCUCAAACUGAAAGCCGGGCCAUAGUUUCGUGUGCCCGUGAUGGCAAUACAACAAAACCUUUCAAUAAAAUGUGUACCGUUAUUACGCAAUUCGUAAAAGCUUUAAUAAAACAUUUUGAACGAAGUUUCACAGGCUAGUAUAACAUGGUGCGGCGCAACAGUUGGUGCGCUACUAUGGCUUGGCCGCUUCCAACGCUAGCUCCCGCGCCUGCCAUGCUGCCGUGCAUUGUCUCCGUUCGCGCUUGCCGUGUCACGCAUGGCCGCGCGCCCGCACUUUGCAAAGGAUUCAACGGGUCGGUUUCGUGUGCACAUCGCAUUCUCUGUGUGUUCCUGCGUUGAUGGCUCAGCUUCGUUUUGGUAAGUGGUUAAAGUUUUUCUCUCUUUUGAAAGCUCUGUCACACGAUUGUAGCACCAUGACCCUCUUGGUUGAUUGUUUCUCAUGCAACGGCUGUUGUUUCGAAUUUCCUCGCGGCACGUCCGAUGUCACGGACACUAUAUAUAAGCUCGUCAGGUUGGGAUUACAUUUUGGUUGGUGUGGGAUCAUUCACGGCCGUUAGCAUCGACUGACCGUGCUAAAAUUGUUACAUCGGGAACCACUUCUCGCGGAGUCGCCGCCUAGUUUCCUCGUGGUCGAAAGUUGCGAAUUUUUUAAGCUGGUGCUGUAAUUAUAUAAACGCGAGCUAUGCCGCUUAUUGACUUAUAUUACUUCGUUGAUGGUCUUAGAACUGCAUCACUAUGCGAAUAAUAUAUCUGCGUCCCCGACUGAUUGCGUCGAGAUGUAAGCACGUGCGUUUUAUAUACGUCCGCUGCAUUCAGUUUGUGAAGAACAAAUGCAAAGCAACAACAGCUUGAUUUGGGCGAGUUGGUAAAUACUGAAUAACGUAGGUACAGCGCAACAACUUUUGUAAGGAAACGGAGACAGGAAACAACGCUAUACCUGCGUUAUGUAGUACGCUGUACCAGCGUUUUCCUGUCUAAUUGUUUCCUUCCAAAAAUUGUUGCGCUGUACCUACGUUAUCCAAAAGCAAAGCGGCGCACAAAAACAAAAUGAGACUUUGUGCGAACUCCCUUGUUGCCCAUUGUAUAAGAUACGCUUUGAUUCAUUUUUGUAGUACCCAAGGCCUUGAACAGCAAAGUAUGACAGCCUGCCCAAUGCAAGCACUUCUAUGGAUGAAUGCUACCCGUAGUGCAGUGAGGCCAUGAUUUCAGCAAAGAAUACCAACCACGGUGACAUAAUCUUGAGCCAGGUUGCACCUCAGAUAGGGAAUGAUGGCACUAGUUCCCAAAAGCUUGGAUGGGACUUGAAGUACUUACAACGAGCAGAGCAGGAUCGAACAUGUGCAGCUAUAUAGGAGUAUACUCAUGCAUGUAGAAGUUGCGGCCUGCAACAUGUUAUUAGCUACCGUCCAAGCUGUCAAAGUGUGCAUGGCUCUUGUCUAUCUUUUUUAGGUGCUUUCAGACAUUCACGUACUAAUCACAGACAUGGGAAGACUAUAAGACGUCAAGAUGAAAGGCUCCUAGCAGCUCUCGGUGUUCCCAACGAAACUGGCAGAAUGGCAGUGGCUGAUUACAAGCUGCCUUUGGUGAACAAAGAAACCGUGACCACAUUAGAAUCCGAGCAGAGCUCCAAUCCUGCAUGCUGAUGACACCUUGUAAGUAAAAGCUUUAUGAAUUGACUACAUGAGCACAUUUUUAUAAUAACUCGUGCCAGGUGUAACUAAUGCCUUUUAUAUGCAUGUUAAAUUGACUUCAUUGUUUUAUUCAAAUUGUGUGGCUUCAUGUUUUUGAGUUGUAUACGCAGUAGUUUCAGUUAAUACUUUUUUAUACUAUGGCUGUUUACAUCUUGGCAGUUUUUGUGUGUAAAUAUUGCUGCAGUAAUUUCUCUGGAAUGCAUAAUCAUCUAGUGUCAUUUGCUGUUCUGCCUUACCUUUUCUGGGGAUUUCAUACCCGCCUUCAUGCAGCCACUGUAAUAUCCACAGUGUGUAUAUUUGGUGUUUUCGGCUUUGAAUCCCUUUUGUUCUCUUCCAAAUUUUUUUUUUCAGACACAACGGCUCUCUGUUAUGGGGGGCUGGUACUUAAGAAGCUUUACUGCGGGCAUCCUACCCACGAUUUUCAGACAGUUUGGGUGGAAACUUAAGCUAGACUCUAGGCCAGCGGCGGAAAAAGAGCUUCAGUGACGUGCAUGUCUACAGUGUCAUGGAAGAUGCUUCAAAGGAUACUGGACCUGCCGCCAGCUGACAUGCCUUUCUUCCUCCUUAGUUCUGUUAAGAUGUGGGUUCAGUUUUUCUAGACAUGCAAUCCAUAAUAUAUGCAGUCUAGUCAAUCAGUGCACGGCAUUACAUGCCAUUCAUUUCCUAUGUAUAUAUUUAGUCACAAUCAAAGCAGGACAACACAUGUACAUAAUUUGCAAGAAUAAAAUUUUGUUUUUUGCUAA